UACAGAGGUGGCAAGCGUUGUUCGGAAUUACUGGGCGUAAAGGGCGCGUAGGCGGCCGGCCAAGUCGGGGGUGAAAGCCUGUGGCUCAACCACAGAAUGGCCCUCGAUACUGGACGGCUCGAGACCGGAAGAGGUUGGUGGAAUUGCGAGUGUAGAGGUGAAAUUCGUAGAUAUUCGCAAGAACACCGGUGGCGAAGGCGGCCAACUGGUCCGGAUCUGACGCUGAGGCGCGAAAGCGUGGGGAGCAAACAGG
rnacentral:rRNA from 1 species